CAGCCGUAAACUAUGCGCGUUAGGUGUAUCGGUGACCACGAGUUACCGAGGUGCCGAAGGGAAACCGUGAAACGUGCCGCCUGGGAAGUACGGUCGCAAGGCUGAAACUUAAAGGAAUUGGCGGGGGAGCACCACAACAGGUGGAGCCCGCGGUUUAAUUGGACUCAACGCCGGGAAGCUCACCGGAUAGGACAGCAGAAUGAUUGCCGGGCUGAAGACCCUGCAUGACUAGCUGAGAGGAGGUGCAUGGCGUAGACGUCU
rnacentral:rRNA from 1 species